AAGACCUUGCGCUUUUGGAGCGGCCGAUGCCUGAUUAGCUUGUUGGUAAGGUAAAAGCUUACCAAGGCUUCGAUCAGUAGCUGGUCUGAGAGGACGGCCAGCCACACUGGGACUGAGACACGGCCCAGACUCCUACGGGAGGCAGCAGUGGGGAAUUUUGGACAAUGGGGGCAACCCUGAUCCGGCCAUGCCGCGUGAGUGAAGAAGGCCUUCGGGUUGUAAAGCUCUUUCAGCCGGAACGAAACGGUUACGGUUAAUACCCGUGACUACUGACGGUACCGGAAGAAGAAGCACCGGCUAACUACGUGCCAGCAGCCGCGGUAAUACGUAGGGUGCGAGCGUUAAUCGGAAUUACUGGGCGUAAAGCGUGCGCAGGUGGUUUUGUAAGUCAGAUGUGAAAGCCCCGGGCUCAACCUGGGAACU
rnacentral:rRNA from 1 species